rnacentral:lncRNA from 1 species
AAGCCUACUUGCCGUAUGCAAUGUGAACGGGUCCCAAUAACGCUAUCUCGUUCUACUCUAAAGGCAAAGCUUAAGCGUCCUCCAAUUUUUAGUCCGUGCUUACGGUCAUAUGGGCGAGGCCUCAGCCAUUUUCAUCCAGCACGGACUAAUGGCAGAUUUGGAAUAAAAAGUCGCAGUUUUGCCCAAAGGCAAAGCAUCGAUUGUGUUAGCAAAUUGGUAGACAGCUACACAAAGUACAGUAGCUUUAUCAGCCAUAUAACCUUGGAAACAUUGCCUUAUUAACUGAAUUUGUGUAGCAAUUAUGGUUUCAGAGCGCACAAGCAAACAAACACAUCACACUCGGUGUCCGCGGACGCUCGCUGCUGCUGGUAAGCGCAACAGCCGCAGCGAGUGAAGUGACCUUCGUGCUGUCUAUCGCUUCAACGCAAACUGAACGGCGAGAACACAGGACGCACAAAGGCAUAUGAGCCGUCUGCAGGUCGCUUUCAGGUUAUGGCACGCGCGGCUGCGCAAAGUGCACAGUUAUUGGUGGAGAAGCUGCCCUCGUCCCUCCCGCGCUGCCUCCCCACUUUCCUCCCUUUCGCGUGCAAGAUUGAGCUGCGAUCGUCAGUUCCCCUUGCGUCUGGUCGCGAAAUACACAAUUGCUGCCGGAGAACAGCGCCCCUACCUCCCCCCAUCUCCUCACGGCCUUUCACGCCACAUAGUUUGCUCCGCUUUCCUCCCUCCCUCGUGCUCGCCAGAUUGAGCCGCGAUCGUCGGCUCCCCUCACAUGCUUUCACUCGCAUUUGCGGCCACAGUGUUAUCGACCUUGGACUUUAUACGGAACAUCACGGCAACGGCAAAAAUGCUCUGGAGUGUUCAUAUAAUAUUGCAAUAAAAGCAGUUCGGGAUAGCUUUGCGUUAUACCAGCCCAAAAUUUUCUAUGCCUAUCUGGAUAUGCGGUGACAUAUGGUGCCCCAGAAAUUAUUUUACCGCGUCGAUUAGACCGCAUAAUUUGAGAACAUUUUCUGCUAUCACUAUGAGCGUCGGCGUGGGAAUAUGUAGUUCGAUCGUACUACCACCGAUGUUUUCGGCUUUACAGAAAAGCAUGCGCCGUGCCACCGUUCGACCCAUUCUUCCAUAUUCUUGUACGCAAUAACUACAAAGCACGAUUCCACUAUGCGCUUCUUGGUGAUUUAUUCUGUGCUUCGUCAUAGUUUCCAAGUCUGCUGCCAUAUUCAAUUAUUCCACCAAGAUUCAGUUGCUUUCCAAACUGCUUCAAAAUGAAACUUUAUCUGCUCCACAUUACUACAAAAUGAAAUUUAGUCUGCUCCACGCUGCUCCAAAACGCAAUUUUGUCUGCUCCAAACUGCUGCAAAUUGCAGUUUUACUUGCUCCAAAAAUUGCUCCGAAAUGACUUUGGGCAGUCCCACCCCUGUGUAUGCAGGCAAAGUUUGGUUUUAAGUGCUCAAGUGCUUUCUUUUGGCUACCCCCCCCCCCCCCCACACACACCUUUUGCAGACAUUUGUAAGAAAUGCCUAAUGUGUUGAAGUAGUGAAACCAUUGAAUAUUAUGCGCUGUAUUAUUAACAGGUCUGUGUGCUCAAGAGAUACCCAUGAGGUGGUUGUUUAUCUACAGAUAUAUUGUGAUUUAUUGUCUAAUUGCACGUAUGUGCUCACUGGAAUUACUUUGUGGAUCAUAACACUGUGCUGAUAAGUUUGCUGUGGCUUGGAUUUCUGCAACCCAAUCAAUACAGUGGCAGCUAUGGGUGAAGUUUUUUUUUUUUUUUACUGCAAUAGCGAUGGACCUUUCUGCAAACAUGCAGCGCCAUGCUUUCCCUUAGUGGCGUUUGGCAAGAGGAUGCACCAGGCAGCUGCUGUAUGAGACUGUAAAGUGUCCUGCAAACUUUUUAUAAUUUCUCAAAGUUUUUAUUUUUACUGUUUGUCAGUUGCUGGCUGAAAGUGUGCAUACCACUGAACCUUAAGCAAAGCAUUUUACUACCUUCAGCAUGCCUCAGAAGAAGAAAGAUGCCGUUCUAACAUGCUGUGCACCUGGCUAUGAUAACAUUCUGGAAGACAGCAACGUCGUUUAUGCCUUAUCGUUUGACACAUGAUCACUAAACUUUGUGUGCACAUUUUAUUGCAUUCCUACGUUUUUGAAACAUGAAAACGAUGAGUAGACUGUACUUUGUCACGGCUUGUCGUUGGUGAAAAUGCGUGAGAGAGUCCAUCUAUGUAAUAAACAAUCAUCUUCCAUCAAUGCUGCCACCUUUAAUAGUUUUCAAUCGCUUUAGUAUAUCACUACUGCCUACCACUAUUAUAUCUCGGCAGUGGCACGUCGCAGGUGGUCGUGAUGCUAGUGUAUAAGGCGAACAGGCUUAGUAUAGAAGCCGUACUUUGUCACAACCAACAACCUAUAGCAAAGCAUCAUGCUGAAUGUUACCUCGUGCAUAUACUGAAGAAUUUUAUUACUGAUAGAUUGACAAUACAACUUCUGCAUUUUCCAGAUUUAGUGAUGAUAAGCAAACUCUCGGGCUAAAAGCAUUCAGCUGACAAGUGUCAUGUCCCUUUUGAGAUGCAGAAACCAUUGGAGGAGGAUUAUCAAAGUGAAUCGAUAGCUUCUCAGUAGAUCUGCUGAGAUAUGCUGCUGGGACAUUUAUUAGUUGGCUCUGUUAGUUAAUGAUAUGAGGUGUGUGGGUGUGUGAUAUUUCGGAGUGCAUCCAAUAGGCUGUCUUCAGCCUUGCUAUGCUGUAAGGUGAGAGACAUGCUGAUGUAUUAAUUUUUCCUGCACCUAUGGUUCUAUCACUGAAUAUUCUGUGGCCAGUGUCUUGUGAAGCAUUGCCCGUGCUGCAAAGUGCUUCAUUUACAUCCCGCAUUAUGUGCUACUGCUCCAGCAUAGUGCAUUGUGUUCAACAGAGGAACGCUGUGUGUCGUGUAUGCGGAAUGCUAAUUCUGCAUUCUCGUUCGGCACCUGAGACAGCACAUUGUAUAUUAUAUACAUUUAUGCAGGACAAGAUGCUGUGUUGUGAGUGCACUUGCAAUGGCCAUUUAACUGCUAUCACAAUAAAAUGAGUUUUAUGCGUGACAAGAGAUCAAUGCGGAGUAUUGAAGUUGUGUUCAAGGACUUUCUAAGUAUCAGUGGAAUGCAUGGUCAUCAGCUUGAGCAAACGCCUUGUCUUUGUAGCAGCCAGGCAGAGUGUCAUUAUAUAUAUAGGUCCCGCAACUCGAGAGCAACUCGAUACUGAGCAUGUAACCAAAGACUUCCAGUCUGGAACAUGGCACAAUCAUGUCUUGGAAUGUGAAUUGCAGCUGCAAUGAACUGGCCUCUGUUCAGCUCAAGACAGAUCUCGCAAGAAUAGCAACAUUCUGUAUUACUAUGUGUUGUUGCCUUUGCAACAGCAGUGCAAAAAGUGGGCACAGAGGUUGUUUUUUUUUUUUCUAGUACUACAGUUCGUUUUAUCAUUUGCAUCCCAUUAAGUAGUAUGAGUGAACAUAUAGUAGCAUUUUUGUAAGUAGCACAUUGAUGUGUGUAAUGUGGCCCAAAGCUGCCUUGAACUGGUGUGUAGUCAGAUGAAGACAGAUCCAGCAGUUUGGAAUACUUGGUAUUACAUCUACCUUUGCCACAGCAAUAUGAAAAGACGAAACAUGUUUUUUCUGUGUGUGUGUGCAUGUAUGUGUGUGUAUGCUGUGUUUAGUUUCAAUGCUGUCUGCAUCCCUUUAUGUACCACAUGUGAAUAUGUCGUAUUUUUUUUUUUCUUUGCUAUUUUGGAAGGGCACGAUUUGCUCAUUUAUAUAUUUCUUGAGUAAAAUAAAAUGAAGAAAGCUGUUCAGCAAA